GACGAACGCUGGCGGCGUGCUUAACACAUGCAAGUCGAACGCUGAAGCUUGGUGCUUGCACUGGGUGGAUGAGUGGCGAACGGGUGAGUAAUACGUGAGUAACCUGCCCUUGACUCUGGGAUAAGCCUGGGAAACUGGGUCUAAUACUGGAUACGACAUGCCACUGCAUGGUGGUGUGUGGAAAGGGUUUUACUGGUUUUGGAUGGGCUCACGGCCUAUCAGCUUGUUGGUGGGGUAAUGGCCUACCAAGGCGACGACGGGUAGCCGGCCUGAGAGGGUGACCGGCCACACUGGGACUGAGACACGGACCAGACUCCUACGGGAGGCAGCAGUGGGGAAUAUUGCACAAUGGGCGGAAGCCUGAUGCAGCGACGCCGCGUGAGGGAUGACGGCCUUCGGGUUGUAAACCUCUUUCAGCACGGAAGAAGCGAGAGUGACGGUACGUGCAGAAGAAGCGCCGGCUAACUACGUG
rnacentral:rRNA from 1 species